UACAGAGGGGGCAAGCGUUGUUCGGAAUUACUGGGCGUAAAGGGCUCGUAGGCGGCCAACUAAGUCCGACGUGAAAUCCCCAGGCUUAACCUGGGAACUGCGUCGGAUACUGGAUGGCUUGAAUUCGGGAGAGGGAUGCAGAAUUCCAGGUGUAGCGGUGAAAUGCGUAGAUAUCAAGAGGAACACCUGAGGCGAAGGCGGGUUGCUAGGCUGACACUGACGCUGGAUGCGACGAACCAGGGGAGCGAACGGG
rnacentral:rRNA from 1 species